AAAUUGAAGAGUUUGAUCAUGGCUCAGAUUGAACGCUGGCGGCAGGCCUAACACAUGCAAGUCGAGCGGAAACGAGUUAUCUGAACCUUCGGGGAACGAUAACGGCGUCGAGCGGCGGACGGGUGAGUAAUGCCUAGGAAAUUGCCCUGAUGUGGGGGAUAACCAUUGGAAACGAUGGCUAAUACCGCAUGAUGCCUACGGGCCAAAGAGGGGG
rnacentral:rRNA from 2 species